GAUGUUGACAUUUGUAAGUCGCUCUGGAUAAGAGCGUCUGCUCAAUGACUUAAA
rfam:Salmo salar isolate Sally breed double haploid chromosome ssa07, whole genome shotgun sequence.